rnacentral:rRNA from 1 species
AGAGUUUGAUCAUGGCUCAGGAUGAACGCUGGCGGCGUGCUUAACACAUGCAAGUCGAACGAAGCAACUAUCUUGCUUGCAAGAGAGUUGACUUAGUGGCGGACGGGUGAGUAACGCGUGGGUAACCUGCCUCAUACAGGGGGAUAACAGUUGGAAACGACUGCUAAGACCGCAUAACCCGCUAGUGUCGCAUGACACGGACGGAAAAUAUUUAUAGGUAUGAGAUGGGCCCGCGUCUGAUUAGCUAGUUGGUAAGGUAACGGCUUACCAAGGCGACGAUCAGUAGCCGACUUGAGAGAGUGAUCGGCCACAUUGGGACUGAGACACGGCCCAAACUCCUACGGGAGGCAGCAGGUGGGGAAUAUUGGACAAUGGGGGAAACCCUGAUCCAGCGAACCGCCGCGUGAGUGAAGAAGUAUUUCGGUAUGUAAAGCUCUAUCAGCAGGGAAGAUAAUGACAGUACCUGACUAAGAAGCCCCGGCUAACUACGUGCCAGCAGCGGC